UCGGGAAUUUUGGGCAAUGGGGGAAACCCUGACCCAGCAACGCCGCGUGAAGGAUGAAGUAUUUCGGUAUGUAAACUUCGAAAGAAUAGGAAGAAUAAAUGACGGUACUAUUUAUAAGGUCCGGCUAACUACGUGCCAGCAGCCGCGGUAAUACGUAGGGACCAAGCGUUGUUCGGAUUUACUGGGCGUAAAGGGCGCGUAGGCGGCAUGACAAGUCACUUGUGAAAUCUCUGGGCUUAACCCAGAACGGCCAAGUGAUACUGUCGCGCUAGAGUGCAGAAGGGGCAAUCGGAAUUCUCGGUGUAGCGGUGAAAUGCGUAGAUAUCAAGAGGAACACCUGAGGUGAAGACGGGUUGCUGGGCUGACACUGACGCUGAGGCGCGAAAGCCAGGGGAGCAAACGGGAUUAGAUACCCCUGUAGUCCCUGAGCGGGCUGGCAAGGCGCAU
rnacentral:rRNA from 1 species